CCCUUAGAUGUCCUGGGCCGCACGCGUGCUACACUGAUGCAUACAGCGAGUACUCCCAGCUCCGAGAGGCUGCUGGUAAUCAGCAAUAUGCAUCGUGAUGGGGAUGGAUCUUUGGAAUUAUAGAUCUUGAACGAGGAAUUCCUAGUAAUCGCAGGUCAUCACCCUGCGUUGACUAAGUCCCUGCCCUUUGUACACACCGCCCGUCGCUCCUACCGAUUUCGAGUGAUCCGGUGAAUCAUUCGGACCGCGGCCCCUAGGCAUGCGGAAAGUCUAGUAAACCAUAUCACUUAGAGGAAGGAGAAGUCGUAACA
rnacentral:rRNA from 1 species